ACUUAAGCAUAUCAAUAAGCGGAGGAAAAGAAACCAACAGGGAUUGCCUUAGUAACGGCGAGUGAAGCGGCAACAGCUCAAAUUUGAAAGCUGGCUCCUUCGGAGUCCGCAUUGUAAUUUGUAGAGGAUGAUUCGGCGAGGGCUCCCGCCUAAGUCCACUGGAACGUGGCGUCAUAGAGGGUGAGAAUCCCGUAUGCGGUGGGUUGCCUUAGCCAUGUGAAUCUCCUUCGACGAGUCGAGUUGUUUGGGAAUGCAGCUCUAAAUGGGAGGUAAAUUUCUUCUAAAGCUAAAUACCGGCCAGAGACCGAUAGCGCACAAGUAGAGUGAUCGAAAGAUGAAAAGCACUUUGGAAAGAGAGUUAAAAAGUACGUGAAAUUGUUGAAAGGGAAGGGCUUGCAACCAGACUUGUCCGCAGUUGCUCAGCCGGUCUCCUGACCGGCGUACUCUUCUGCGGCCAGGCCAGCAUCAGUUCGGGCGGUCGGAUAAAGACCCGGGGAAUGUAACUCCUCUCGGGGAGUGUUAUAGCCCUGGGUGGAAUGCGGCCAGCCUGGACUGAGGAUCUCGCUUCGGCAAGGAUGCUGGCGUAAUGGUUGUAAGCCGCCCGUCUUGAAACACGGACCAAGGAGUCUAACAUCUAUGCGAGUGUUUGGGUGUCAAACCCAUACGCGUAAUGAAAGUGAACGGAGGUGGGAACCCGCAAGGGCGCACCAUCGGCCGAUCCUGAUGUCUUCGGAUGGAUUUGAGCAAGAGCAUAGCUGUUGGGACCCGAAAGAUGGUGAACUAUGCCUGAAUAGGGUGAAGCCAGAGGAAACUCUGGUGGAGGCUCGCAGCGGUUCUGACGUGCAAAUCGAUCGUCAAAUUUGGGUAUAGGGGCGAAAGACUAAUCGAACCAUCUAGUAGCUGGUUCCUGCCG
rnacentral:rRNA from 1 species